CGAGCACGCGCGUGUGGCAUAUCAAUAAGCGGAGGAAAAGAAACUAACAAGGAUUCCCUUAGUAACGGCGAGUGAAGCGGGAAGAGCUCAAAUUUGAAAUCUUCAAGGUUCUACCUUGACGAAUUGUAGUUUAUAGAAGUGUUUUCUGUUAGUGGAGUGGCAAAAGUUCUUUGGAAUAGGACAUCAUAGAGGGUGAGAAUCCCGUAUUUGGUCAUUCCUCCUAGCGUUGUGAUACACUUUCAACGAGUCGGAUUGUUUGGGAAUGCAGUCCAAAAUGGGUGGUAAAUUUCAUCUAAAGCUAAAUAUUGGCGAGAGACCGAUAGCGAACAAGUACCGUGAGGGAAAGAUGAAAAGAACUUUGAAAAGAGAGUUAAACAGUACGUGAAAUUGUCAAAAGGGAAGCGUUUGACACCAGUGUUGUUUUUCCGAAAAUCAAUUACGAAUGUUUUGUUUUUGAGGAGUUAUGACUUCAUCGGCUUGCUUCUUUCUUUACGAAACUUUCUUAAUGCACUUUUCGGUUAACAAGUCAACAUCAAUUUCUUUUGUUGUAAAAGGGUAUGAGGAAGGUGGCUUUCUUUUCGGAGAAAGUGUUUAUAGCCUUGUGCCUCUGCAAUCGGAGAGAUUGAGGUCUGCAGCGUAGAUCCUUCGGGGUUAGAUACGUUUGUGCUAAGUUAUAGCUUUUCAUAGACAACUUGCUGACUACGUUUAGUCUUGUAGCUUACUCGCUGACGCUAUUUUACCUACGCUUAGGAUGUUGAGCGCAUGUCUCUCUCU
rnacentral:rRNA from 1 species